AUUGAACGCUGGCGGCAGGCCUAACACAUGCAAGUCGAGCGAGCGGCGGACGGGUGAGUAAUGUCUGGGAAACUGCCUGAUGGAGGGGGAUAACUACUGGAAACGGUAGCUAAUACCGCAUACCAUCAGAUGUGCCCAGAUGGGAUUAGCUAGUAGGUGGGGUAACGGCCCACCUAGGCGACGAUCCCUAGCUGGUCUGAGAGGAUGACCAGCCACACUGGAACUGAGACAAGGUCCAGACCCCUACGGGAGGCGGCAGAGGGGAAUAUUACACAAUGGGCGCAAGCCUGACGCAGCCAUGCCGAGUGUGGGAAGAAGGCCUGCGGGUUGGAAAGCACUUUCAGCGGGGAGGCGUUACCCGCAGAAGAAGCACCGGCUAACUUCGUGCCAGCAGCCGCGGUAAUAC
rnacentral:rRNA from 1 species